UCCCUGAUAUCUCAGUUGGUAAAGAACCUGCCUGCAGUGCAGGAGACCAGGUUUCGACCCCUGGGUUGGGAA
rnacentral:tRNA from 1 species